rnacentral:rRNA from 1 species
CCUACGGGAGGCAGCAGUGGGGAAUCUUGCGCAAUGGGCGAAAGCCUGACGCAGCCAUGCCGCGUGAAUGAUGAAGGUCUUAGGAUUGUAAAAUUCUUUCACCGGGGACGAUAAUGACGGUACCCGGAGAAGAAGCCCCGGCUAACUUCGUGCCAGCAGCCGCGGUAAUACGAAGGGGGCUAGCGUUGCUCGGAAUUACUGGGCGUAAAGGGAGCGUAGGCGGAUAGUUUAGUCAGAGGUGAAAGCCCAGGGCUCAACCUUGGAAUUGCCUUUGAUACUGGCUAUCUUGAGUGUGGGAGAGGUAUGUGGAACUCCGAGUGUAGAGGUGAAAUUCGUAGAUAUUCGGAAGAACACCAGUGGCGAAGGCGACAUACUGGCCCAUUACUGACGCUGAGGCUCGAAAGCGUGGGGAGCAAACAGGAUUAGAUACCCUGGUAGUCCACGCUGUAAACGAUGAGUGCUAGUUGUCGGCAGGCAUGCCUGUCGGUGACGCAGCUAACGCAUUAAGCACUCCGCCUGGGGAGUACGGUCGCAAGAUUAAAACUUAAAUGAAUUGACGG